rnacentral:rRNA from 1 species
AUUGAACGCUGGCGGCAGGCCUAACACAUGCAAGUCGAGCGAGCGGCGGACGGGUGAGUAAUGUAUGGGGACUGCCCGAUAGAGGGGGAUAACUACUGGAAACGGUAGCUAAUACCGCAUACUAUCGGAUAACCCAUAUGGGAUUAGCUAGUAGGUGAGGUAAUGGAUCACCUAGGCGACGCUCCCUCGCUGGUCUGAGAGGAUGAUCAGGCGCACUGGGAGUGAGACAGGGCCCGGACGCCUACGGAGGCAGCAGGGGGGAAGAUUGGACAAUGGUCGCAAGCCUGAUGCAGCCAUGCCGCGGGUAUGAAGAAGGCCCUAGGGUUGUAAAGGACUUUCAGUCGGGAGGCGUUACCGACAGAAGAAGCACCGGCUAACUCCGUGCCAGCAGCCGGGGUAAUAC